CCCUCUAUUAUCUCCACCUUUUCACUCAUUCGAUCAAACUGGGGGCAGGGGAAGGAUGGGAUGAAGAAAAUUGAUGGAAAAAUGGUAAGGGCCAGAAGCUGAAGGGACUGUGUCAUAAAAGACUGUGAGAGAAUCAAGUUCCAGUUCAGCCCAGAGGAUGCAACCAGCAUAGGGCUGGGCAGAGGCUCAUUCCCCUAUCCACCCUCUGCCACAGACCACAGGCCAGCCUUGGCCCUCUGAGAAGGCAGAUGUGCCCACAGAGCAGGGCUCCCUGGAAAGGCAACAACAGGUGGAAGCUUGAUAAGAAAGAGGCCAGAGUUGAACAAGCAGAGUGCCUGCCAAAUCAGAGGCCUUACUAAGCUUGAAAGAAGAAAUGAGUCUUUACCUAUCACAGGAAAAGAAUCAGCCACCAGAACCUCAGUGGAAAGAGGCUCCUAUACCCAUUCACAAAGGAAGUCCAGUUUGCAGUGUUCGCCUAUUUGAAUCAGAAAGAGCUUCCAAGACAGCCAGAAACCGGGAUGCAGUGCUAUCAAACAUCUCGUCCAACAACCGUUCUGUAACAGUACGUGGCCAUGGCAACUGUAAUUAAA